UGCCAGCAGCCGCGGUAAUACGGAGGGGGUUAGCGUUAAUCGGAAUUACUGGGCGUAAAGCGCGCGUAGGCGGCUUGAUCAGUCGGAUGUGAAAGCCCCGGGCUUAACCUGGGAAUUGCAUUCGAUACUGUCUAGCUAGAGUAUGGGAGAGGGAAGUGGAAUUUCCGGUGUAGCGGUGAAAUGCGUAGAUAUCAGGAGGAACACCGAUGGCGAAGGCAGCUUUCUGGACAGAUACUGACGCUGAGGCGCGAAGGCGUGGGUAGCGAACGGGAUUAGAUA
rnacentral:rRNA from 1 species